UGUAAGCGUAUACCAAAGUUGUUGCAGUUAAAACGCUCGUAGUCGGAAUUUGGCAGUUCCGGAUGUGUGCACGUCGUGUGCGCACUUCGCGGGGAUUGCUUUUGUGGUCUUGCGUAGGAUGAGGCACUUUUAUUAGUGAACGUCCUCACGCAACCACUUUUUACUGUGAGAAAAUCAGAGUGCUCAAAGCAGGCAUUUGCCGUGAAUGUAUUUGCAUGGAAUAAUAGAAUAGGACUUGGUUCUAUUUUGUUGGUUUGUUGGGACUGAGUAAUGAUUAAGAGGGACAGUUGGGGGCAUUUGUAUUUCGGUGCUAGAGGUGAAAUUCUUAGAUUACCGAAAGACAAACUGCUGCGAAAGCGUCUGCCAAGGAUGUUUUCAUUGA
rnacentral:rRNA from 1 species